GGCUUAACACAUGCAAGUCGAGCGGGCGUAGCAAUACGUCAGCGGCAGACGGGUGAGUAACGCGUGGGAACGUACCUUUUGGUUCGGAACAACACAGGGAAACUUGUGCUAAUACCGGAUAAGCCCUUACGGGGAAAGAUUUAUCGCCGAAAGAUCGGCCCGCGUCUGAUUAGCUAGUUGGUGAGGUAACGGCUCACCAAGGCGACGAUCAGUAGCUGGUCUGAGAGGAUGAUCAGCCACACUGGAACUGAGACACGGUCCAGACUCCUACGGGAGGCAGCAGUGGGGAAUAUUGGACAAUGGGCGCAAGCCUGAUCCAGCCAUACCGCGUGGGUGAAGAAGGCCUUCGGGUUGUAAAGCCC
rnacentral:rRNA from 1 species